GACGAACGCUGGCGGCGCGCUUAACACAUGCAAGUCGAACGGAAAGGCCUGCUUUCCCUUGUGGAUUGCGGGUACUCGAGUGGCGAACGGGUGAGUAACACGUGAGUGAUCUGCCCCCACCUUGGGUAUAAGCCUGGGAUACUGGGUCUAAUUCCCGAUAGGACUGCAGGGUGGUGCCGGUGGUGGAAAACGAUUUUCUAGUGGUUGGGGAUGAGCUCGCGGCCUAUCAGCUUGUUGGUGGGGUAAUGGCCUGCCAAGGCGGCGACGGGUAGCCGGCCUGAGGGGGAGGAACGCCAGAUUGGGACUGCGGCACGGCCCAGACUGCGACGCGGGGCAGGAGUGGGGAAGAUAGCGCGAGGGGCGGAAGCCUGGUGCAGCGACGCGGCGGGGGGGGUGACGGGCUUCGGGUAGUAAACUUCUUUGGAACGAGAGGAAGCCACCUGGUUGGAAGGGUGGUGAAGGUAGUGGGAGAAGAAGCACCGGCUAACUACGUG
rnacentral:rRNA from 1 species